rnacentral:rRNA from 1 species
AGUGAACGCUGGCGGUAGGCCUAACACAUGCAAGUCGAACGGCAGCACAGUAAGAGUUUGCUCUUACGGGUGGCGAGUGGCGGACGGGUGAGGAAUACAUCGGCAUCUACUUUUUCGUGGGGGAUAACGUAGGGACACUUACGCUAAUACCGCAUACGACCUACGGGUGAAAGCAGGGGAUCUUCAGACCUUGCGCGAUUGAAUGAGACGAUGUCGGAUUAGCUAGUUGGCGAGGUAAAGGCUCACCAAGGCGACGAUCCGUAGCUGGUCUGAGAGGAUGAUCAGCCACACUGGAACUGAGACACGGUCCAGACUCCUACGGGAGGCAGCAGUAGGGAAUAUUGGACAAAGGGCGCAAGCCUGAUCCAGCCACGCCGCGUGGGUGAUGAAGGUCUUCGGGUCGUAAAGCCCUGUUGUUGGGGAAGAAAAGCAGCAUGUUAAUACCUCGCUGUUUUGACGGUACCCAAUGAGUAAGCACCGGCUAACUACGUG